rnacentral:rRNA from 1 species
UGCCAGCCGCCGCGGUAAUACGGAGGGGGUUAGCGUUGCUCGGAAUUACUGGGCGUAAAGCGCGCGUAGGCGGAUUGGUCAGUUGGGGGUGAAAUCCCGAGGCUUAACCUCGGAACUGCCCUCAAUACUACCAAUCUAGAGUCCGGAAGAGGUGAGUGGAAUUCCUAGUGUAGAGGUGAAAUUCGUAGAUAUUAGGAAGAACACCAGUGGCGAAGGCGGCUCACUGGUCCGGUACUGACGCUGAGGUGCGAAAGCGUGGGGAGCAAACAGGAUUAGAUA